rnacentral:rRNA from 1 species
GACGAACGCUGGCGGCGCGCCUAACACAUGCAAGUCGAACGAGCGAGCGAGAGCUUGCUUUCUCGAGCGAGUGGCGAACGGGUGAGUAACGCGUGAGGAACCUGCCUCAAAGAGGGGGACAACAGUUGGAAACGACUGCUAAUACCGCAUAAGCCCACUUCUCGGCAUCGAGCCAGGGGAAAAGGAGCAAUCCGCUUUGAGAUGGCCUCGCAUCCGAUUAGCUAGUGGGUGGGGUAACGGCACACCAAUGCGACGAUCGGUAGACGGACUGAGAGGUUGAACGGAGACAUUGGGACUGAGCAGCGGCACAGACUCCUCCGGGAGGGAGCAGUGGGGAAUAUUGCAAAAUGGGGGAAAUCAUGAUGCAGCGACGACGCGUGGAGGAAGAAGGUAUUCGGAUUGUAAAGUCCUGUUGUUGGGGAAGAUAAUGACGGUACCCAACAAGAAAGUGACGGCUAACUACGUG